GUUAGGAAUAUUGGACAAUGGGCGCAAGCCUGAUCCAGCCAUGCCGCGUGAGUGAUGAAGGCCUUCGGGUUGUAAAGCUCUUUAGCCGAUGAUUAUAAUGACUGUAGUCGGAAAAUAAGCCCCGGCUAACUUCGUGCCAGCAGCCGCGGUAAUACGAAGGGGGCGAGCGUUAUUCGGAAUCACUGGGCGUAAAGCGUGCGUAGGCGGUUUUGUAAGUUGGGAGUGAAAGCCCAGGGCUCAACCCUGGAAUUGCUCUCAAAACUACAAGACUUGAAUUCGGGAGAGGAUAGCGGAAUUGUCAGUGUAGCAGUGAAAUGCGUAGAUAUUGACAGGAACACCAGUGGCGUAAGCGGCUAUCUGGACCGACAUUGACGCUGAGGCACGAAAGCGUGGGGAUCAAACAGGAUUAGAUACCCUGGUAGUCC
rnacentral:rRNA from 1 species